GAUGAACGCUGGCGGCGUGCCUAAUACAUGCAAGUCGAGCGAACAGACGAGGAGCUUGCUCCUCUGACGUUAGCGGCGGACGGGUGAGUAACACGUGGAUAACCUACCUAUAAGACUGGGAUAACUUCGCGAAACCGGAGCUAAUACCGGAUAACAUGUUGAACCGCAUGGUUCAACAGUGAAAGACGGUCUUGCUGUCACUUAUAGAUGGAUCCGCGCCGCAUUAGCUAGUUGGUAAGGUAACGGCUUACCAAGGCAACGAUGCGUAGCCGACCUGAGAGGGUGAUCGGCCACACUGGAACUGAGACACGGUCCAGACUCCUACGGGAGGCAGCAGUAGGGAAUCUUCCGCAAUGGGCGAAAGCCUGACGGAGCAACGCCGCGUGAGUGAAGAAGGUCUUCGGAUCGUAAAACUCUGUUAUUAGGGAAGAACAAAUGUGUAAGUAACUAUGCACGUCUUGACGGUACCUAAUCAGAAAGCCACGGCUAACUACGUG
rnacentral:rRNA from 1 species